rnacentral:rRNA from 1 species
UGGCUCAGGAUAACGCUGGCGGCAUGCCUAAUACAUGCAAGUCGAAUGGUUAGCUUGCUAGACCAUGGCGAACGGGUGAGUAACACGUAGGUAACCUACCUUAAGGACGAGGAUAACCUUUGGAAACGAAGGAUAAUACUGGAUAGGACAUUACAAAGCACAUGCUUAAAUGUUUAAAGGAGCAAUCCACCAUAAGAGGGGCCUGCGGCGCAUUAGCUAGUUGGUGAGGUAAAGGCCCACCAAGGCGAUGAUGCGUAGCUGGACUGAGAGGUUGAACAGCCACAAUGGGACUGAGAACGGCCCAUACUCCUACGGGAGGCAGCAGUAGGGAAUUUUCGGCAAUGGGCAAAAGCCUGACCGAGCAAUGCCGCGUGAUCGAAGAAGUAUUUCGGUAUGUAAAGAUCUUUUAUCGGGGAAGAAAAGACAGAUUGACUGAACCUGAUGAAUAAGCUCCGGCUAACUACGUGCCAGCCGCCGC